CCUACGGGGGGCUGCAGUGGGGAAUAUUGGGCAAUGGGCGCAAGCCUGACCCAGCAACGCCGCGUGAAGGAAGAAGGCUUUCGGGUUGUAAACUUCUUUUCUCAGGGACGAAGAAAGUGACGGUACCUGAGGAAUAAGCCACGGCUAACUACGUGCCAGCCGCCGCGGUAAUACGUAGGUGGCAAGCGUUAUCCGGAUGUAUUGGGUGUAAAGGGCGUGUAGGCGGGAGCGCAAGUCAGAUGUGAAAACUUAGGGCUCAACCCUGAGACUGCAUUGGAAACUGUGUUUCUGGAGUACUGGAGAGGCAAUCGGAAUUCCGGGUGUAGCGGUGAAAUGCGUAGAUAUAAGGAGGAACACCAGUGGCGAAGGCGGAUUGCUGGACAGUAACUGACGCUGAGGCGCGAAAGCGUGGGGAGCAAACAGGAUUAGAUACCCGAGUAGUC
rnacentral:rRNA from 1 species